rnacentral:rRNA from 1 species
AACGAACGCUGGCGGCAGGCUUAACACAUGCAAGUCGAACGCCCCGCAAGGGGAGUGGCAGACGGGUGAGUAACGCGUGGGAACGUACCCUUUACUACGGAAUAACUCAGGGAAACUUGUGCUAAUACCGUAUGUGCCCUUCGGGGGAAAGAUUUAUCGGUAAAGGAUCGGCCCGCGUUGGGUUAGCUAGUUGGUGGGGUAAAGGCCUACCAAGGCGACGAUCCAUAGCUGGUCUGAGAGGAUGAUCAGCCACAUUGGGACUGAGACACGGCCCAAACUCCUACGGGAGGCAGCAGUGGGGAAUAUUGGACAAUGGGCGCAAGCCUGAUCCAGCCAUGCCGCGUGAGUGAUGAAGGCCCUAGGGUUGUAAAGCUCUUUCACCGGUGAAGAUAAUGACGGUGACCGGAGAAGAAGCCCCGGCUAACUUCGUGCCAGCAGCCGCGGUAACAC